CUCGCCCGCCGCUCCUGACCUGCCUCGCUAGCCCCCCAAAGAAUGUCAGCCAAGCCCCAGGAGACCCCCUGCUCGUCCUGCGCUGCCGAGGGACCGCCGGCAGCCUCCAAAGCCAAGGUGAAGGAGCAGAUCAAGAUCAUCGUGGAGGACCUGGAGCUGGUCCUGGGCGACCUGAAGGACGUGGCCAAGGAACUCAAGGAGGUGGUUGACCAGAUUGACACCCUGACCUGUGGCCUGCAGCUGGAGGAUGAAAUGACUGACAGCUCCAGAACAGACACGCUGAAUAGCAGCUCCAGCGGCACCACAGCCUCCAGCAUAGAGAAGAUCACAGUGCAGGCUAAUGCCCAGCUCGUUAAACCUCCAGCCCACCCCUCUGCCAUCCUCACUGUCCUGAGAAAGCCAAACCCUCCACCACCUCCUCCUCGAUUAACACCCGUGAGGGGUGAAGACCCUCAAAGGGUAGUUCCCACUGCCAAUCCUGUCAAGACCAAUGGCACUCUUCUACGGCAUGGAGGCUUCCAAGGUCGACCUAACAAGAUUCCAAAUGGAGAUAUCUGCAGCAUACCUAACAGUCACUUGGACACGGCUCCUGUGCAGCCUUUGACGCACAGACCUGGAAAGGACAGGUGUCCACAGGCAGGGCCUCGAGAGCGAGUUCGGUUCAGUGAAAAAGUACAGUACCAUGGCUAUUGUCCUGACUGUGAUAACCGGUAUAACAUUAAAUCUAGAGAGGUCCAUUCACACAGUGAACCUGUCCACCCACCAGGGAAGAUUCCUCACCACGGCCCUCCCCUCCCUCCUCCGCCCCAUCUCCCUUCUUUCCCACUAGAAAAUGGGGGACUGGGAGUUAGCCACAGUAGCAGCUUUCCCCCUGCCAGACCUGCAGCUGUGCCUCCUCCCACUGCACCCAAACCACAGAAGGCCAUCUUGAGGAAGUCCACCACUACAACAGUGUGAAGUAUGCUUUCAAGAACUUUUUGAUUUUUUUAUUUUCUAUAUUAUAAAGAUAAAAUAAUAAGUAAUGAGCACUUUUUACUCAAGCAAUAAAAAGCCCAAAUAUAUUAAUCCUGCAUUCAACAAAGGGGUAUAAAAAUCACCUGUAUCUUGAAACAUUUGAGGGAUCCAGUUUCUUCUUAAAUGAAGCUAACAGAGAAUUCUAACACAAAGAAAUAUGAAAUCACUUAAAAUUCUGGUUGGACAAAAUACUUUUAUUUGGAGGCAUUUAAUUUAUUUUGUUACAUCAACUUCAUCCUUGACUUCUUGAGUCCAGAUCAAAUUUUAAUGUAGCCAGAAACAUAACCUUCUCAGCGGAGAAAAAUCCCGAACAGUAGCACAAACGAUCACUGAGGUGAUCUCCAUCAGUUUAUCUGCCUGAAGGCUGACAGCCAUGAGCAGAGUACAGGGCGAAAAAGCCACAGCCUUAAAUCUCUUCACUCAGAAACUAUGAAGAAGAUAAAAUACACAGAUGAAAUGGAAUAAGUAAAACAGCCAGCAAAUGAAACCAAACAUAGCUCAUCGAUUUCACGAUGGAAAAAUAAUGUUCCCAGAUGUAAACCUGCCCAGGAAAAUUAAAAUCCAUCAGUUAAGUCAUUAAGUUAUAAAUUAAUUCAUCAUUUGGGAAGGUAGAAAUACAGAGAUAGAAGGUGUCUUCUGUCAGCAUUGCUCAUUAUUUGAAAACAUGUAGACAAAAACAAAACUGGAAAAGCAGGAACACUGCAACAAUGAUCACAAUUAAGACAGCACAUUGCUAUUUGUAGACAGAUGUGUGGUGUCAUAACACCCUAAAGCCAUAAUGGAAUCAAUCACAUGGUCACCACUUGCUUGAAAAGUUUCCACCCUCAAUGCUUCCCCUUCAUUGGUUGAGAGAGGGAAGGUCAGUUCACACUGGCCACUUCUCAAUGCACUUCUGAUGUUUGCACUGCCACUUUCAUUCCUCAUUGGUUGAGAGAGGGAACGUCAUUUCACACUGGCCACUUCUCAAUGCACUUCUGAUGUUCGCACUGCCACUUUCAUUCAGGGUAAUGAUGUGUUCUGUUAUUUGCACAGAUGGUCCCAUGAGCUUUGAGACCACAACAAGCAAUUUCUUGUAGACAUCCAAAAAACACAAACUCUUGAGAAUUCUCAUGACAAUGCUUUAUCUUUCUCUGGUAAAAAGUCAAUUAUCUAAAGAAAUGGACUUGUUUUAAAUUUUUUUAAGUUGAAGAACAAUAAAGAAGACAUCAGUUUGGUUGAAUAAAUGAAAGAUCAUUCAAAAAAUUUUAAUUGAAGAUUAUUUUAUAUCACUAAUAGCAAGAAGUCAAGUACCAUGAACUGUACAUUAA